rfam:Callipepla squamata strain Texas jcf7180005229338, whole genome shotgun sequence.
UAGCGCUAUUACAUCUAGUUGACAAAGAAUGGCGGCUUGGCCAUAUAGAACCUUCGCUUAGCUGUUGGAAUACCCCUAUCUUCGUGAUCCGGAAGGCAUCCGGGUCCUAUCGCCUACUACAUGACUUACGCGCUGUCAACGCUAAACUUAUCACUUUUGGUGCUGUUCAGCAGGGAGCGCCGAUCCUCUCUGCGCUCCCUCGCGGCUGGCCCUUGAUGGUCCUGGACCUCAAGGAUUGUUUCUUCUCUAUUCCCCUGGCGGAACAGGACCGCGAGGCCUUUGCGUUCAC